rnacentral:rRNA from 1 species
CUCCAGACUCCUACGGGAGGCAGCAGUGGGGAAUAUUGCACAAUGGGGGAAACCCUGAUGCAGCGACGCCGCGUGAAGGAAGAAGUAUCUCGGUAUGUAAACUUCUAUCAGCAGGGAAGAAAACAGACGGUACCUGACUAAGAAGCCCCGGCUAACUACGUGCCAGCAGCCGCGGUAAUACGUAGGGGGCAAGCGUUAUCCGGAUUUACUGGGUGUAAAGGGAGCGUAGACGGCAGUGCAAGUCCGGAGUGAAAGCCCGGGGCUCAACCCUGGGACUGCUCUGGAAACUGUAAAGCUGGAGUGCGGGAGGGGCAGGCGGAAUUCCUGGUGUAGCGGUGAAAUGCGUAGAUAUCAGGAGGAACACCGGCGGCGAAGGCGGCCUGCUGGACCGCGACUGACGUUGAGGCUCGAAAGCGUGGGGAGCAAACAGGAUUAGAUACCCUCGUAA